CAGCAGCCGCGGGAAUACGAAGGGUGCAAGCGUUAAUCGGAAUUACUGGGCGUAAAGCGUGCGUAGGCGGUUUGUUAAGUCUGCUGUGAAAUCCCCGGGCUCAACCUGGGAAUGGCAGUGGAUACUGGCAAGCUAGAGUGUGUCAGAGGAUGGUGGAAUUCCCGGUGUAGCGGUGAAUGCGUAGAGAUCGGGAGGAACAUCAGUGGCGAAGGCGGCCAUCUGGGACAACACUGACGCUGAGGCACGAAAGCGUGGGGAGCAAACAGGAUUAGAUACCCCGGUAGUCCCUGUCUCUUAUACA
rnacentral:rRNA from 1 species